UCUAUAUUAAGUCAGAAGUGAACAUGAUAUCGUCUUGACUUAGGCAGAAGAAAAAAGAGAGAAAGAAAAACACACAGCAGUGUUUCACAAGCAAUCACAGCAUCACGGCAGAAGGCUUUCACAAACCAGACCCUGUUGUCUUUAGCGAAGACAUUACAGAAAACUUGCAAAUCUUCAAGGAAGAAUUCAACAUUUUUACUGCAGCAACACACACAGACAAACCUCUGUGAACACAAGCAAUCAUCCUCCUUAACUUGGCAGGACCCGAAGCCACUGAGUGAGAGCAAUCAUUUGUAUAUGCAAACGACAUGCGAGAGCUGGGUGAAAGAAGACGCAUUAUUGUAGAAGCCGAAUCACAGGAGGAUCCAGACUGUUUAAAGAGAAACCUUCAUGAAACAUACAGUCCACAAACAAACCUAAUGAUGGAAAAGCACAAGUUCAACACAAGGAACCAAAUGCAAGGGUUAUGUUCCAGGUGUUUUGUGGGUGGUCCUCCAAGAGGAGCAGCCACCUUCCAAUCAUUGUAAGGGACUGGACUCAGCCCUAUAAAGGCAGAGGAAACCCACCGUUCCUUGUGGUUCAUUCAAAUGCUCUUGGCAGUGCAGACCUGACGGUUGGUGAUGGGACAACAAACGACGUCGCCUUCGGCUUCUACUACCUUCUACUAGUCUGCCUCUUCUGGCUCACCUGCCUUUUCAUCGGCUCUACCACCAUCUUGUGUCAGUCGAUGUUUAGAUUCAAAUUUGGAGAGAUGUUGUCGGGUUCUUUUUUGUGAAAACUGCUUUAUUGUUUUCAAUUCAAUUAUGUAUUUUUUUUCUUUCUUUGUUACAGUGUUAUCUUAAAUAUUUAGUACAGUAUUUAUUCACUCUGUGCUUUCAGCGCGACAUUUACAUAAUUUCAUUGUUUGCUUUUUUAUUUUUUUUUGCGUUGCACCCUCCCCUACGAUAAUCCAUCGUCUAUGAGGAAGGAGUGAAAGCUUUAGAUUCAUCACAAAAUUUUGAUCUAUGGUUUUCGAUGGAUUUUUACAAUUUAGGGCCCCCUGAUACCGAAAACAUCGAUUAUCUCAAUGAUUGGUGUGUGUCUGUCUCUUUGUGUGUGUGUGUGUGUGUCUGUGUGUCAUAGUUUCUUGAGGAGGGUCUACAGCUAAAACAGCAGGAUAGAAAAAUACCAAACUCGAAACUUAAACCUGUUAAGCAUUUAAAAGAAAGAGGCACUCUAGAGCAGGCAUGUCAAACUCACUACCAUUGGUGGGCCACUGCAACUGCUAUACGUGCGUCAGUGGGCCGCAUUGUAACAAAUACUAUUAUACUAUUAUACAAAGUUACUGUAGCUUUCUUUCCAAUACUGAAAACUU